UGCUGCCAUCUGGUGGUGAUUUCGGUCACUU
rnacentral:piRNA from 1 species